CGAUUCAGUUUCGUUUAGGUUAUCGAACGCAACGGUUUGUGUCGCGCUACUGAAGGCGGGAUAUUCACUGCAUUUGACUCGACUCGACUCGACUCGAUUCGAUUUCUUUCGUUUCGUCUCGUUUCGGAUCGUCUUGCCUCACAACUCGAACUCGAAUGCGAAUCCUCGAAAUAUGAAUUCGCUCCGAUAUCAGAACUGAAAAGCACGAGUAAUUCAAACGCUGCAGGAACGGCAGUGAAACGGUCGCGAUCGCGAUCGCCAAAUUGCAAUUGUGGCUGGCUCGUCCUGAACGCCCCGCGUCCCGCGUCCCACGCCCCCGUCCGCCACCCACGGAACGUCGACCCCCCACCGCGCCGCCCAGCAAGUUAACCCCCUCAACCGCCGGCAAAUUCAAAACGCGUCGCGUCGGGAAGCGCGUGCCGUCGCCGCCGCCGCCGCCGCCAAUUGCAUCUGUUGUUUGUUGUUUUUUUCGGUUGAGUGUGUGAGAGUGUGCCAUCUAUAUUGCAUUGUUGUUGUUUCUCUUUUUGGGGUUCUCCUCAAUUGACAAGAAAAACACGAAAACAAGGAAGGCGAGAGACGUACAAGUGAAACGUAAACAAUGAAAAGUGAGACGACGGCAGGCGGAAAAGUGAAAUCCAGUUGAUUGCAAUUCGCUGGCAGCAGCUGCAGCUGCAGAGCGAAAGCGAAAAGCUUAGCAUACUUUUGGGCCUGCCCCAAUAACUCAAGCCCAGGCACCACACACCACGCACCGCGCAAAAGUCAAAACUCAAACUCAAACUCAAAAGUUUCCUGUGUCGUCGCGUAGUGAGCGGCCACGCCCACGUGCUCUCGAAAAGAAGGCGGCAGGCGCUAAGUAGCAGGACGCCCAGGGACGGGCUCGAGCCCAAAAAUCGGGCAUACGGAAAAACGUGAAAACCGCAACAGCUCUGCA